UACGAAGGGGGCUAGCGUUGCUCGGAAUCACUGGGCGUAAAGCGCACGUAGGCGGAUUGUUAAGUCAGGGGUGAAAUCCUGGAGCUCAACUCCAGAACUGCCUUUGAUACUGGCGAUCUUGAGUCCGGGAGAGGUGAGUGGAACUGCGAGUGUAGAGGUGAAAUUCGUAGAUAUUCGCAAGAACACCAGUGGCGAAGGCGGCAUCCUGGACCGACACUGACGCUGAGGAGCGAAAGCCAGGGGAGCAAACGGG
rnacentral:rRNA from 1 species